rnacentral:rRNA from 1 species
ACACUCCUACGGGAGGCAGCAGUGGGGAAUUUUGGACAAUGGGGGCAACCCUGAUCCAGCAAUGCCGCGUGAGUGAAGAAGGCCUUCGGGUUGUAAAGCUCUUUUGUCAGGGAAGAAACGGUGGUGGCGAAUAACUACUACUAAUGACGGUACCUGAAGAAUAAGCACCGGCUAACUACGUGCCAGCAGCCGCGGUAAUACGUAGGGUGCAAGCGUUAAUCGGAAUUACUGGGCGUAAAGCGUGCGCAGGCGGUUGUGUAAGUCAGAUGUGAAAUCCCCGGGCUCAACCUGGGAAUUGCAUUUGAGACUGCACGGCUAGAGUGCGUCAGAGGGGGGUAGAAUUCCACGUGUAGCAGUGAAAUGCGUAGAUAUGUGGAGGAAUACCGAUGGCGAAGGCAGCCCCCUGGGAUAACACUGACGCUCAUGCACGAAAGCGUGGGGAGCAAACAGGAUUAGAUACCCGAGUAGUCCCAUGAU